AGCAAAACAUGGCAAGACAACACCUGAGAAUUGAAAGAUAAACUCUCAUAAGAGGUGCAGCAAGAAUGCUUCAGCACAAGCUCCAAAACUGCAAGCAGUAGAUCCUCCAUUUCUUGAUGCAGGCACAUUGCAGCUGCAAGUAUUUGAGGAAGCACCACCCACCGGGCAGAUCUGCUUGGCACCGCGCACUCCCUCUUCAGACAGACACUUGGAGGCUGUACGUGGACGCCAGGGAAGGAGCUCACAAAGCACUCGCACUGCACAGGCUGCAUUAAGUUUCCUUCACCAGUAGGAAAGAAAAAUUCAAAAAGAAGCCCGGGAGCACAUUUGCUUUUAGCUCCGACAUCACAGUUGUGAAACUGCUAUUGGAAUGCUGUGCACCUAUUGAGAAGUCCACAAUUUUAAAAGAAUUGGACAUGAAAGAGCCGUGGAAAUAGCCAGAAAGUAUUUGAGAGGUAGAGAAUGUGCUUCAGAGUGAGACACCUGAAAAGCUUCUUACAGAAGAACCGUACAGAAAAACUGCAGUGAGCUGUAGAAGUGCAAAGUGCACGGCUUUCCUGGAAAACAUGGAGUGCUGCAUUGAGUUUGGGGCCUCUCAUGACAAGAGGGACAUUGAUUUGCCUGAGGGUGUGCAGAGAAUAGCAAAUAAAGCUGGCAAAGGGACUAGAAAAGACACGCUACUCAGCUGAGGGAACUGGGGCUCUGCAGUCUGGAGGAGAAGAGGUCAAAGGAGAGCCUUAAGGAGGGAAGAUUAGGUUGGAUGUCAGGGGGAAGUUCUUUACUAUGAGAGUGGUGAGGUGCUGGAACAGCCCAAGGAGGUUUUGGAUGCGCCGUCCCUGGAGGUGUUCAAGGCCAGGUUGGAUGGAGCCCUGGGCAGCCUGGUCUGGUAUUAAAUAUAGAGGUUGGUGGCCCUGCCUGGGGAAGGGGUUGGAGCUUCGUGAUCCUCUAGGUCUCUUCCAACCCAAGGCAUUCUGCGAUUCUGUGAACCUCAUCUCUCUCUGAAACUACAUGGAAGAAGACUACAGUGAAGAGCACAUUGGUCUCUUUUUAAGGUGAAAAGUAAUGGAACAUGAGGCAACUGCAUCAAGUUACAGCAGAAGAUGGUUAGAUUGCCCAGGGAGGAGGUGGAGUCGUCAUCCCUGGAGGUAUUUAAGAGAUGCAUGGACGUAUUGCUCAGGAGCACGGCUUAGCAAUGGACUUGUGGUGUUAGGUGAUGGUUGGACUUCAUGAUCCCAAAGAUCCUUUCCAACCUAAAUGAUUCUACAAUUCUAAGUCCGUAUACAGUAUCUGCAAUUCAACAGAAAUGGCAGAGCAACAGUGUCACUUUCUGAUUUUAGUAUUAAACUACAAAUCGAUAGACUCACAGUACUCAAAUAUCACUCAUCUCCCAGAAGACUGGGGGCAUGAUUUCAUUGCUGUUCUGUACGUGUUGUCCUCCAGCAAACACCCUGACAUACAAAAUAACAAUUUUCUAUCUCCCCCCUCACGCACCAGUCUCUGAAUGGCAAUAUAAAUUGAGUUCUCCCAAAGAGUGAGUAAUUCACCUGCCUUUGCUUGUCCCUGUCCUCCAAGGAGGAAAGCAGAGCAGUAGUGCUCUCACAAGUUCAUUUGAUUGGCAAAUGCCUGAGGUGUUCUACUGAUCUUUAGAUGCA
ensembl:lncRNA